CUUCCCCAGCCAUGUGGAACUGUGAGUCAAUUAAACCUCUUUUCUUUAUAAAUUACCCAGUAUCAGGUAUUUCUUCCUCACAGUGUGAAAACGGACCAAUACAAACUUCAUGCUGGAAAGACCAGUAUAAAUCAUUUUCUCCACUCCCAGUCCUUGACAAAAGUACUGUCCAUAGCAUCUCUGAAGAGUGGUCAUCCAGUCUCUUUCCUUCCAGUCACAAAAUGCUAGAGAUCGCUCAUGUGUCCACCUUCCUUUUAACUAAAGGUUAAGUCCCACAUAUGGCACUAGCCACUGUUCCAAACAUAAUUUUAUUUGACAUUCACAAAACCCCUAUAAAUACUAUUAUAGCUGCUUUACAUAAUGAAUAAACUGGAAACCCUCUUUAUUUCUCCUGGUGAGUUCUGCCCAGUGAACACACAUAACACCAGUCUGACUUCCCUUUCACCCCAAACCCUCAGUGCUGUCAGUCUGAAUCCAGUAGCGCCUUUUGGCACCAGAUUUGUGCUCUUAGCACAACUUGAUGAGGAGAUUGCUCAAUCUCCUGUGAAAGUGUGAUCCAUUGCCUAACAGCUGAAAGUGUCUCCUCCAUUACUGGAAUCAGCUGCCCAGCACUGGGAUUACUGGAAAGAGCUGUUGUGAUGGGAACACUUGAUCACAUAUGUAAAUUUUCUGGCGUCUUCUGAAAGGGACAGUGGGCUGCAUCUGAUAAAGACAUGGAUCCAGAAACAGUGUAAUGAGAAUGAGAAUGGCGGGGCGGGAUCCUGAGGUGGGAUGUUUGGAGCAAUGGUCUUGAGGUCAGGAAAGUAGAAAGGAGGAACUUUUUCACUAGAAGGGAGAAACAAGGAGAGGAAGUGGACUUUUACUAACAUUCCAGACUGAGUAUAAACCUGGGGAGCAUGUCCAGCUGGCUGGAGAACCUGGUAGAGAACAGGAGCCCUGAGCUUGAGUUCCUUCCCCAACUCCACAGAUGAUUCCUUUGGGAACGUCACCCUCUUUACCGAAGCCUCGUUUCUCCCACUUGUGCUUAUGAAUUUGGAUACAACGUGUGCCGCCUCCGUUACUGGAAUCAGCUGCCCAUUGAUGGGAAGCCUUAAAGGAAUUCCAUUUGCUGCUUCAAUUCUGACCUCACAGACAUCAUUAUAGAAUCAUUUUGGAUACUCAAGAGAUUACAAUGCUCCAAAAAAUUGCUGUUCUCAGAGCUCCUGGAAACACAAAGGUUUGAUUUCAGUGUUACUAAGAGUCCUUUAAUCUGAUUAACCGAUUAUUUGUAUAUAGUUUGGAAGAAGGGGAAGUUCUGAUUUCUGUAUCUUGUCAGAACUCUCCCUUCUUCCAAACUAUUUAUAAGUAAGUCCUAUCCAGGCAGAAAACAAGAAGUGGCAGGAAGCUAACUGACGUAUAGGUGCUCUAGUCUAAAUGACAAGGUUUAGAGCCACACAGCCUUACAUUCCAGUCAUCUGACCAGCUCUGUGUUCCUGGGUAACUCCCUUAAGCCCUCUGUGCCUUCAUUUCCUCAUACACACACACACACACACACAUAUAUUUAAUAAGAAAGAAGAAAUCUGUUCAUUAGGCUGAAAUUUGGGUUGGAAAUGGAAGAAGGAACUAGAAGUUAGCCAACACAGAAGAUUCAGAUGGACUUGAGAAUUUUCUUCAAAUACUUAAAAGGCUGCCAAGUGGAAGAUGUAUCAGCUGUCUUCUCUAUGGACCAAUGAAAACAUGUUGUAAGGAAAUAGACUUCUGUCCAAAAAGUAACUUUUUAACCUUUAGAGAUUUCAACACAAGGAAAAGCUGCCUUGAGAGCUAGUAAAUUUCCCAUCAUUAGAAUUACACUUAUUUAAAAAGAAAAAAAAAUGGUUCAUCCAUUGCAAAAUCAUUUUGCAAACCCCAUUGCAAAAAAAAAAAAAAGUAUUUUUGAAAAAUGAGUAAAUAGCCUUCUGUUUGUAUCUUUUGUAAAUUGCUCACGCGGUUACUUGGCACAAAAUGAAAGCAGACCUCCAUAUUCCAAGACCGACCCAUAGAAAGGGAACCAAAUGGCACGUGUGAUGAGUUUGAAGGGCCUUUGUAUGUACUGUUCAGUGAGCCUCUGCCAUCCUCAGAUCUGUGUGUCAGCCCUGCACUGAUGCACGUCCCUUCCUGAUUUUCUACUGUCAAUUGUACUACAUGAAAUAAUCCAUGGUCCACAACAUCCACUCUACAGUUCGGUUUUACUGACCGAAGGAAUAUGUCUGCAACACCCCUAUCUCUCAAGCACAUUAUCAUCAGGUACUUUUUCAGAAGGGGAGGUGGCAAAUUACUCCAAACUGCAAGAAUUUCUAUAAGUACACUAACAUUCCUUAGUUUUUAAAGGGCAUCUUUUUUUUAUUUUUCUUUUAAGUUGUCAUUUGAAUUCAAACUCUUUGGAAAACAUGCAUAAUAAUCUUAAUGAUCCCAUUGACUAGUUUAAAUUCAAAUUGUGAAGCAUUUGAAAUACCAUGCUGGCAGCACUUUCCAUAAAUUACUCUCAAAUUCAAUAGAUCGCUACACACACAAACACACACACUUUUAUAAGUAUCACACUCAAAAAUCUUUAAAUUACAGUUUCUCAUUGCUUGUCCCAUUUAUAUUGUUAUUUGGUGGAUAAACUAGAGCUGUUGUGUCUGCUUACAAAUUUCUGUAUUAUUUUUCAAGAAAAUAAUUUAGUAGCAGUCAUAAAUUUUUAUAUCUCCUCAGGGUAAAUAGAACUUUGUUGCAGGGUUCCUGGCUUUGGUGUGAGUAUGUGUUUGUUUGUAUGUGCACAUGGGUGGUUGGCAAAUCAAGCCUGAUUUUCUCAUUUGCCUAAAAUUCACUCUGUACACUGGCAUUUUUAGGGAAUUUCCUCACUUACCUCCCGAUUUACUAGGUACACUAGCAAUUUUAGGAAAUGCUGCAAGACUGAACCAAAAAAGAUCAUUUCUGCUAGAAAGUCUAUUUACCUACGAUCUUUAUAAUGAGAUCCUAUCUACAGCAGGUUUGGAUCAAUUACACCUCCAGAAUGUAAUGAUUAAAGGAAAGAAAUAUCUUUUAGACCUAUGAGAGAAAAGACCCUAUUUUCACUUUAUUCCUAGUAUCUUUCAGAAGUAAAAUUUGUUCACAAAGCUUGCCAGCAAAAUUUCAGCAACCAGGAACUGUAUAUAAAUGAGCUGGGAAAUAUUCCAUUUGUAAUAUAAGACCAAAAUAAAGCAAUACAGAAUGCAGGCAUCCUGCAGCAGAAUUCCAAGCUUGUGCAAUUCACAAAUUUAAUCAUAACUUCCCUAUGAGAAAAAAAAAUUUCUCCAUUAUUUUGAAAACAUGGGUGUUCUUUGCUACUGAACUGUACCUGAAAUUCAUCUUCUUCCAGUGGAAAACAGUUGGAAUAUUUGAUUCCACUUGAAACAUCAAUGAAAUAGUAAAAAUAAGAUACUUGGAAAUAAUGGGGAUUUUUGAGGCUGAUUAAAAACUAUUUUGGUGUGUUAACAGCCCUUAUUUAAAGUUACAAUUCAUUGACUUCGGAAAAGGACAAUCUGUACAAGCACAACUCUCUAAAUUGCAAAUCGUAGUUGAGUACUAGCUGGCUAAAAUAGAAUAUCAUUACAGUUUUAAGUAAGUUCGUAUUUAGAAACUAUCUUACUAAAAAGAUAUUUAUUUUACUUAAGAAUGAUUUCUGAAAGGCUAACUCAAAUGUAUAAAUAAAAAUCUAUUAUAUCCAAGGGCCAACAGAAAAUCUCUCCAGUGUUCUGGAUGUCAGAGAGAAAAAAUCACCAGUAUCAUCAUCAACAAAUAUUAACAGAAUGCCAGUGGAGUGUGAGGACUGUGCAAGGAGCCUCGGGGGAUGCAGAGAGACAAAAGACAUGCCAAGACACUCAUAAUCUAUGUAAAAAGACAGGACCCUGACAUGCUUAGAUAAACAGUAGCAAAAUUAGCCCCUCAAUCUUUUGCUACCCUGUCCAUCCAAUCUCCAAAGACAGUGCAUCGACCCAUUAUGGCACUUAGAAUAAUUCUCAUUUAUCUGUUUGGCUUUCUAUCUCUUCAAGCAGUGUUUCCCAGAUACUGAUGAUUCUCUCUUUUGCAAUUUCAUACCCCCAAUGCCCACUACAAUAUUUGAAAUACAGAUGAUGCUCAGUAAAUAUUUAUUGAAUGGAUUUCAAUGACUGAAGGCCAUUUAGGCAGGCAACUUAGAUGCAGAGGUUAAAACAAACAAGCAAACAAACAAAAACCUAGAUGCAUAGUUAGAAAAUGGAUGUCAGAACCCUGUUUUAGUUUCUUGGCUAUAUGGGCUACCUUCUCUGGGCCUCAGUUCUCUCAUAUCUAAUCUAGAAAUAACACUUGCCUUGUAGGAUUAUUGUGAACAUCAAAUGGAAAACAACUAUAAAAGUAUUCUGGGUACACGCAUUUAAGUAUAAGGUAUUAUUAUGCUAAAUGAUUGGUACAGGUGGUAAAUGCUAAAGGAUGUGUAAUUAACAUAGCUGGAAAGCAGGUACAUAAUUAAGUGAAGUUGCUUAAUACCAUCCAAUGGUAACUCAGCGAAUUGGGAGUUGUUAUUCUUUCCUGAAAAUGUCUGAUCAUUCUGUCCCAUGUGAAUGUACCAUAAAUAUCAAAUAAUAAACUGAUUGUUAUAUGAUUUAGGAAAUUCACAUGGCUCCUUUUUAAUCUAGAAAACUACCGUCUUACAGGGUUCCAGUUGACUCAUCUGCAAAAAGAGGAGCUUGGGUUGGAGAAUCUUCAGUUUCUUCCAGUUUAAAUGGCACGAGAAUUGACUUCCACUCAAUUCUACCAGUCAAAUGAACUCAAACUGGCCAGCAGUACUUAGUGCUUCUUUCAUAGCUUUUAAGGAUCCACCUUAUCAGAAUAGGAGAGGCAGCACUAACGUGGCUUUUCCAUUGGCUGUGUUUUCUUGUAGCUUCAAAACAAAGGAAUUUUGGCCUUUAUAUUGAAUUCCAUUAAGAUGCCAUCAGAGGAAGAUGACGAGUCUAAGACUAUUUGAUACUUUUGGAAAAAAGCCUGUUAUCUUGAAGGUAUUUUUUACCUCUCCCAACCCCAAAUUUUCUGCAGAAUAAUGCACAUAUAAUGAAUGCUCAACAAAUCCUUACUGAACCAGAGGCUGAUUUCUUUUCGUUUGAUCCUAGCAGCUAUACUAGAAUUCAACAUAAAAAAAUGUUUAGAGAUUGGAACUGUUCUCUUUCAUUCUUUCCCCCUUAUCCAUUCCUACUCUACUUUCAAGGCUUUGCUCAAAUGCUGUAUCCUCUGGGAGGUCCUUCUCGAUGCCGAUCCCCUCCUCAGGCCACCGCAGGAUGCGGCACGGCCUUUCCUCUGAGCUCUCACAAUUGCCCGAAUCUCUCACAGAUAAGUUGAAUUACUUUGCCUUGUGUUAUAUUUGUUCAUAUGUCUGACACUUCUCAUUCACCUCAGGGCUCCACGAGAGCAUGAACUAGUCUCACACUGCAUUGUAUCCCCCAUAACACUGAGCACAGUCCUUUGCACACAGAAGGUGCUCAUUCAAUGUCUCUUACCACUGGCAAAGAAUUCACUUUUCAGUUAAAAAUAUUCAAGGGACAUGUGUUUAAACACUCACUUUUCCCAAGGAAGUGGAGACAGUCAUCUCCUCCCUUUCCUAAAUCCCCCUUUAUAGGAACUCAGAAACACCCUCGAGAAAAAUCUGACAGCCCAAUUUCACAAAAACAAUCUUCUUCCUUUUCUUUUACUUUGAACUUAAUUAACGGUAAUGCUUAACCUGUCACUGCUUAAUUACAUUGGCAAGUUGGUGGGGUUUAUCGAUCUGUGCAUGAGGAGUUAAUUCCAGAAGAGACUUUGACAAAAAGCACUUUAUGGGAGAACAUAUCGUUAUUUCAGCAGCUUUGCUGGAGUAACCUGCAGACACUGCCCAGCCAGACUCAGGCCAGUUUGGCUUCCUGCCACUUGUGCCAAUUUCCUAAUGAUCUAAUAGGAAUGUAUAAUAACCCUCUAAAAAAACAAGUCUUCCUCUCUUUUUCUCUGGUCUUAAAAAUGAGACGACAUCUAGCAGGUUAAAUGUAUCCUUAAAGGAAAAUGCACCUGAGUUGUACAAUGUCUU